rnacentral:rRNA from 1 species
GACGAACCGUGCGAACGUUGUUCGGAAUCACUGGGCUUAAAGGGCGCGUAGGCGGGCUGUCCAGUCUGGGGUGAAAUCCCGCGGCUCAACCGUGGAACCGCCUCAGAUACUGACGGCCUCGAGGGAGAUAGGGGCAUGCGGAACUGUAGGUGGAGCGGUGAAAUGCGUUGAUAUCUACAGGAACUCCGGUGGCGAAGGCGGCGUGCUGGAUCUCUUCUGACGCUGAGGCGCGAAAGCUAGGGGAGCAAACGGG